rnacentral:ncRNA from 1 species
AAAGUUUCUUACAGUGAAAUCUUAGCCAAGAACGCUGGCCCUGAGUCGUACGCUGACCGUGGUGACACGUUGGGUGUGGUAUCGACAAGGGGACAACUAGGCGCAGCGAGUGAGCUCCGAAAACAGAGUUUUUCCGAAUGCCGACACCGUCGAGGUUGUGGAAGGCAGUACGGACGAGGUCGCUAUUGGCGAGACCGCGUUCGGUUCGGCGGAGUCAAGGAGCU